CUACGGGUGGCACCAGUGGGGAAUAUUGCACAAUGGGCGCAAGCCUGAUGCAGCCAUGCCGCGUGUAUGAAGAAGGCCUUCGGGUUGUAAAGUACUUUCAGCGGGGAGGAAGGGAGUAAAGUUAAUACCUUUGCUCAUUGACGUUACCCGCAGAAGAAGCACCGGCUAACUCCGUGCCAGCAGCCGCGGUAAUACGGAGGGUACAAGCGUUAAUCGGAAUUACUGGGCGUAAAGCGCACGCAGGCGGUUUGUUAAGUCAGAUGUGAAAUCCCCGGGCUCAACCUGGGAACUGCAUCUGAUACUGGCAAGCUUGAGUCUCGUAGAGGGGGGUAGAAUUCCAGGUGUAGCGGUGAAAUGCGUAGAGAUCUGGAGGAAUACCGGUGGCGAAGGCGGCCCCCUGGACGAAGACUGACGCUCAGGUACGAAAGCGUGGGGAGCAAACAGGAUUAGAUACCCGGGUAGUC
rnacentral:rRNA from 1 species